ACCCUCUCAGGGUGGCACCUGGAGGGUUUCCAGUACUCCACCAGUCUCGGCUACAGGAGGGAGAGUCGAGCAGAGGCCCGCCCGUUCCAUUCCUAGCUUUGAAGGUGGCUAGCGAGUGGAAGGCAAUCUGCUAUAAGU